UGAGGAAUUUUGGACAAUGGGGGAAACCCUGAUCCAGCGACGCCGCGUGAAGGAUGAAGGUCUUCGGAUUGUAAACUUCUUUUGUUUGGGACUAAGAAAUCCAUAGAAAUAUGGGGAGUGAAGGUACCAGACGAAUAAGCCACGGCUAACUUCGUGCCAGCAGCCGCGGUAAUACGAAGGUGGCAAGCGUUACUCGGAAUUACUAGGCGUAAAGGGCAGGUAGGUGGUUUGAUAAGUCUGUUGUGAAAGCUCCCGGCUCAACUGGGAGAGGUCAACAGAAACUAUCAGGCUUGAGUAUGGGAGAGGGUACUGGAAUUCCCGGUGUAGCGGUGAAAUGCGCAGAGAUCGGGAGGAACACCAAUGGCGAAAGCAGGUACCUGGACCAUUACUGACACUCAACUGCGAAAGCUAGGGGAGCAAACAGGAUUAGAUACCCCCGUAGUCC
rnacentral:rRNA from 1 species